AGGGCUUGAGCGAACGGGAGAAGUUUUAGUGUAAAACGAAGGCCAAAAAUAAAGUCUUAAACACAAAUUUCCAUCAAGCGAGGAGUAAAAUCUAAAUACUCUUUUAAUUUGGAAUUCCACUAAGUCCCAUGGUGGUUCCUCUCUUCAUCCUUGUCUGCUCCCUCUCCCUAACCUGGUACCAGAGAGAGAGAGAGAGAGAGAGAGAGAGAGAGAGAGAGAGAGAGAGAGAGAGAAGAGGAAAAAGAGAAGUGAAGAGAGGGGAUUUGAGGAUUUUGACCUACACGACGAUCCGAUCGAUCUCGCGCAUGCAUCAAAUUUUCAUCGGCGCUUCAUUGCCAGUGGAGUAUCACUGGAUCUUGGUCGCGUUCCUCCAUCUUUAUUAUUCUGAGCUACUUCCACUGGAUUUUUAGAUAAGUUGACUUGUCCUUGACAAAAUCCAGCCUUCUGUAACCGAAUCGCUUAAUUAAUGGACUUUACUUCUCUCUUUGCGUUUGUAGUACCCUCGCUAAUUUUAGGCUUCCCAGUGGAUCCCUGUGGAACGUGAGCCGAGGAGUGGUGCAUUGGAGGCUAAUUACUUGCCGCUAUUGUAUUAGCAAUCCGAGAGACAAUUACAUCAUUUGUUGACCAAGGUAAGGGGAUCACGCUUAAAUAACACAUCCAUCCAGUGUACUUGAGCGAUAGAGGACCAUAGGCUUAUGUGGAAGUGGAAAUAGAUCAUCGGGGAUGAAACUUCUUGUAAGGGGGGGAUAAUGUAAUAUGUGGGAUAUUUAUAAUUUAAGGAAUUCAAAAUUUCAAUUUGAAUUCGAAUUUCAAA